rnacentral:rRNA from 1 species
ACGCACGCUGGCGGCGUGCUUAACCCAUGCACGUCGAACGGAAAGGCCCUGCUUUUGUGGGGUGCUCGAGUGGCGAACGGGUGAGUAACACGUGAGUAACCUGCCCUUGACUUUGGGAUAACUUCAGGAAACUGGGGCUAAUACCGGAUAGGAGCUCCUGCUGCAUGGUGGGGGUUGGAAUGUUUCGGCGGUUGGGGAUGGACUCGCGGCUUAUCAGCUUGUUGGUGGGGUAGUGGCUUACCAAGGCUUUGACGGGUAGCCGGCCUGAGAGGGUGACCGGCCACAUUGGGACUGAGAUACGGCCCAGACUCCUACGGGAGGCAGCAGUGGGGAAUAUUGCACAAUGGGCGGAAGCCUGAUGCAGCAACGCCGCGUGCGGGAUGACGGCCUUCGGGUUGUAAACCGCUUUCGCCUGUGACGAAGCGUGAGUGACGGUAAUGGGUAAAGAAGCACCGGCUAACUACGUG